rnacentral:tRNA from 1 species
UCCGACUUAGCUCAGUUGGUAGAGCACCUGACUGUUAAUCAGGUUGUCGCCGGUUCGAGACCGGCAGUCGGAG